rnacentral:tRNA from 1 species
GCCUUCAUGGUGUAAUGGUCAGCACGCUCGGCACGUAUUCGAGAGGUGCGAGUUCGAGUCCCGACGAGCGCA